rnacentral:rRNA from 1 species
GACGAACGCUGGCGGCGUGCUUAACACAUGCAAGUCGAACGGAAAGGCCCUGCUUGCAGGGUACUCGAGUGGCGAACGGGUGAGUAACACGUGGGUGAUCUGCUCUGCACUUCGGGAUCAGCCUGGGAAACUGGGUCUAAUACCGGAUAGGAGCCAUUUUUAGCGUGAUGGUUGGUAAGUUUUUUCGGUGUAGGAUGAGCUCGCGGCCUAUCAGCUUGUUGGUGGGGUAAUGGCCUACCAAGGCGGCGACGGGUAGCCGGCCUGAGAGGGUGGACGGCCACAUUGGGACUGAGAUACGGCCCAGACUCCUACGGGAGGCAGCAGUGGGGAAUAUUGCACAAUGGGCGCAAGCCUGAUGCAGCGACGCCGCGUGGGGGAUGACGGCCUUCGGGUUGUAAACUCCUUUCGCUAGGGACGAAGCUUUUUGUGACGGUACCUAGAUAAGAAGCACCGGCUAACUACGUG